UACAGAGGUCUCAAGCGUUGUUCGGAUUCAUUGGGCGUAAAGGGUGUGUAGGUGGCGCGCUAAGUCGGGUGUGAAAUUUCGGAGCUUAACUCCGAAACUGCAUUCGAUACUGGCGUGCUUGAGGACUGGAGAGGAGACGUGGAAUUCAUGGUGUAGCGGUGAAAUGCGCAGAUAUCAGGAAGAACACCCGUGGCUAAGGCGGUUCUCUAGUACGGUACUGACGCUGAGACGCGAAGCGUGGGGAGCGAACAGG
rnacentral:rRNA from 1 species